rnacentral:lncRNA from 1 species
UUAUUAUUAGUAAUAAUAAGAGUAAAUGCUAUUUAAUUACGGGCGGCCGCAUCCUGCUCCCGGCGCCGCCGCCCCGGCAGCUCCGUCCAUGUGGCUCCGGAGCGCUUUACUUUCAUUUCCAGCCCCUUCGGCCGGCCGCUCGCGGCAGCACCCGCUGGAGGCACCGUCUCCCCGCAGCUCUUCCUCCUCGGGUCCUAGAGCGCGGCUUCCCUCGCCUGGCGCCCGGGGUGGGCGGCGCGGGCGGCGCACCUGGGGGCGGGGAAGUCCCCCUGCCCCGUGA